UACGGGGGGAGCAAGCGUUGUUCGGAUUUACUGGGCGUAAAGCGUGCGCAGGCGGUUUUGUAAGCCAGAUGUGAAAUCCCCGGGCUUAACCUGGGAAUGGCAUUUGGGACUGCAAGGCUGGAGUGCGGCAGAGGAGACUGGAAUUCCUGGUGUAGCAGUGAAAUGCGUAGAUAUCAGGAGGAACACCGAUGGCGAAGGCAGGUCUCUGGGCUGACACUGACGCUCAUGCACGAAAGCGUGGGGAGCAAACAGG
rnacentral:rRNA from 1 species